rnacentral:lncRNA from 1 species
CACCGCACAACCACCGCUGCCGGUAUUUGCCCCGGGCGCCUGGCAACUCUGACGCCCCGCUGCGCGGUCCAACCCCUUCUCCGACGCCUGGGGACGUGGACCUGGCCGAGGGAAGGGAGAGGGUACCGGUCCUUGGUGUAAUCACGUUUUACUCUGCUGGGAAGGCGUGUUCAUCUUCCCACCGAAACGCGCCAUAGACUGGAUCAGGCGUUUUUUGCUCAUCAUCGUUUCAAAAAACGUUUACUGAAGGAAAGAAAGGAAGAAGGCAGGAGGAGCGAUAAAGAGAUAGCAAGAGAAAGAGGAUGGAAAGUGGGGAAAAUGAAUAGAUUUCUAAAGGUUGGGAAAGCCUUUUAGCAGGGAGAUGUUUUCCUGGAGGUCUUGGAACUCUCUUGGUCUCACAGCCUCUGUAAACCGAGGGCUGCACACCUGUCUCUAGUCCCCAGCUGAUUUCCAGAGGCCCUUCCAGCUCCUGUGUUGAUUCUUCUGCCUCGACUCACUUCUAGCAGACAAGUACCAUCCAGCUGACCCUGGUAGGCACGUGGCCACAUAAUACGGAUUGCACGAGGUAUAGGAAUCCAGAGGAAUUCUCACACACAAGGCAAGACGUAUGAGGAUGUUGCUGCAGCAUCGUUACUAGUGUUGGAAAUAAGAUGUUCCCCCUUUCUCCUUCUGAUAUGAGAAGAUACUUGUUAGCCCUCAAGCUGCUCAGAUGAGGGACUUUCCUGCCGAGAACCAACGUGAAGAGUGCAGCUUCUAUAAAGGAUUUCACUGGAUUUUUGUACUAAUGAACAAAUUUUAUUUGGAUGAGUAGAUAUUUAAUGUGCUGUUAUUACCACUGGAGUUAAAAGUAUAUUAUAAAUUCUUAUGUCUUUAAAACUAGAGAGAGGAUUCUGGGAAGAUGGCAGAGUAGAAAGCACCAGGAAUCCGACUUCCCACCUAAACAACUGUUCUAGCAGCAUCUGUCUGACACAACUAUUUUAAAACUUUGGGGUCUAUUGAAAGCUAGCAACUUCUAGGGGAAAAGUUGUACAGUAAGCUGCAGUUAAUUUCAGUGAAUUUCAGCACAGUAAUAGCCAAUAGUAGCCAAACCCUACUCCUCAGCCCUGUGUCAGGCAGCUGUGUAUGUGUUCCUGGACCAGUUUGCACACAACUUGCUGGAAUCAAGGUUGAAAAAAAAAAACUGUCCUCCAAAUAUUAGGGCUCUGAUUGCUGAUUGUUGCUUUACAAAGGUGCAGAAGAAGAAAUGACAGCCAUUGUUUUGUUGUUGCACCUUCCCCCCCAUUGUGGCAAACUCCACCUCCUCUGGCUGAAGCACCUUCCAGGGGAUUUAAACGAUGAGCCUUUUUCUGCCCUUCAUUUUUCUCUUUUUCUCCAUUUUUGGAAGCCAGACAUUGAAGGCUAUGACAUUCAAAACAACUGUAUAUACACUUGUUACAGAAGAUAUUAGAAAGUCACUGUGCGUGCCCAGGGACAGGCUUAGAAAAGACCCAAGAAGACUGUAAGCUUAUAUUUCAGGCUAAUCCUCAGCACAGAGACAGCCUAUAACAAUAAAAAACAAAAAGCUAGUAAACCCUGGGGAAGGAAAAUAAUCUGAUUUUCAGAAUUACCAGAUUAUUAGAUUCAAAAGUCUAGUUUUCAACAACAACAACAACAAAAACAAAAACACAAGAGAUACAAAGAAACAAGCAAAUAUGGCCCAUUCAAAGGAAAAAAUAAACCAACAGAAACUGUCCUUGAAAAGGAUCUGAUGGAGGAUCUAUUAGACAAAGACUUUAAAACAACUGUCUUAAAGUUACCCAAAGAACUAAAGGAAGAUGUGGAAAAUGUCAAGAAAAUGAUGUAUGAACAUAAUGGAAAUAUCAAUAAAGAGAGAGAAAACCUAAAAAGAAACCAAAAAGAAAUUGGUUUCCAGAAAUUUUCUGGAACUAAAAAGUACAAUAGCUGAAAGUUAAAAAAACUUGCUAGAGAGAUUCAAUGGCAGAUUUGAGCAAGCACAAGAAUCAACAAACUUGAAGAAAGGACAAGGAAAAUUAUUGAAUCUGAGGAAUAUAAAGAAAAAAAUUGAAGAAAACAGAGCCUAAAGGACCUGUAGGACAUCGUCAAACAGCCCCACACAGGCUUUAUGGGGAGUCCUUGAGGACAAGUAAGAGAAAGGGGCAAAGAGAUUAUUCAAAGAAAUUAUGACCAAAAACUUGCCAAAUUUAAUGAAAGACAUGAAUAUAAAUAUCCAAAAAGCUCAAUGAACUCCAAGUAGGAUAAAUUCAAAGACACACCAAAAGUAUUACCAUCAAACUAUUAAAAGCUGGAGACAGAAAAUUUUGAAAGCCGCAAGAGAGAAGUGAUCAUCACAUAUAAGGAAUCCUCAAUAAGAUUAUCUGCAGAUUUCUCAUCAGAAACUUCAGAGGCCAGAAAGCAGUAGGCUGAUAUAAAGUGCUAAAAGAAAGAAACUAUCAACUAAGAAUCCUAUAUCCAGCAAAUCUUCACUUCAAAAGCUGGAGGAUUCACACUUCUUUGUUUCAAAACUUACCACAAAGUUACAGCGAUCAAAACAGUGUGGUACUGGCACAAAGACAGACAUAUAGACCAAUGGAAUAGAACACAGUCCAGAAAAAAACCCUCUUAGCACAAGGGUGCUAAGAUUAUCCAAUGGGGAAAAGAUGAUCUUUUUGACAAAUGGUGCUGGGAAAAUUGCCACAUACAAAAGAAUACAGUUGGACCCUUACCUGAUACCAUUUACAUUAAAUUAAUGCAGACUAGAUCCAUAACCUAAUGUAAGAACUAAAACUAUAAAACUCAUAGGAGAAAGCAUAGGGCAAAAGUUCACAACAUUAGAAUGGGCAAUAAUUUCUUGGAUAUAACAUCACAAGUACAGGCAACAACAACAACAAAAGAACACAAAUUGGAUUGUAUUACAAUUUUAAAAUUUUGUGCAUCAAAAGUACUAUUAACAGAGUAAAAAAGGCAACCCACAGAAUGGGAGAAAAUAUUUGAAAAUCAUCUCUAAUAAGGGAUUAAUAUCCAGAAUAUAGAGAAAACUCCUAAAACUCAACAACAACAAAAAACAACAUGAUUUAAAAAUGAGCAAAGGACUUGAAUAGACAUUUCUCCAAGAAGAUAUACAAAUGGCCAGUAAGUACAUGAAAUGAUGCUCAACAUCAUGAAUAAUUAGGGAAAUACAGAUCAAAAUAACAAUGAGAUACCACCCCACCCUUAUUAGGAUGGCUACUAUUUAAAAAAUAAUAAUUAUUAUAAGUGUUGGCAAGGAUGUGGAGAAAUUGGAACCCUUAUGCACUGUUGGUGGGAAUGUAAAAGGGCACCACCAGUGUAAAAUGGUGGUUCUUUAAAAACUAAAAGUAGAAUUACCAUAUGACCCAGCAUUUCCACUGCUGAAUAUAUACACAAAAGAAGUGAUAGCAGUAUCAAAGAGAUAUCUGUACAUCUGUGUUUAUAGCAGCAUUAUUCACAGUAGUUAAAAUGUGGAAGCAGACCAAGUGACUAUUGGUGGAUGACUGAAUAAGCAAAAUGUGGUAAACACAUACAAUGGCAUAUUAUUCAGCCUUAAAUAGGAAGGAAAUUUUGAUAUAUGGUAUAACAUGGAUGAAUCUUGAGGACAUUAUGUUAAGUGAAAUGAGACAAUAACAAAAAGGCAAAUACUGUAUUAUUCCACCUAUAUGAGGUACUUAGAGUAGUCAAAUGGUGGUUGCCUGGGGCUGAGCAGAGGGAAGAAUGGGAGUUAUUGCUUAAUGAAUACAGUUUUGCAAGAUGGAAAGACUUCUGGAGAUGGGUAGUGGUGAUGGCAGCACAACAAUAUGAUUGUACUUAAUGCCACUCUACUGUACACUUAAAAAUGAUUAAGAUAGUAAAUUUUGUGUUAUGUAUGUUUUACCACAAUUAAAAAUUGUGGUAAAUAAACAAUAAAGUUUUUUUAAAUGUUGUCUCUGUACCUAACAUGACUAAGCACCCUCCUAUUCUCCUUCCCAUCACAUCUCUCCUAGAUUAUCUUGGGCAUCUGAACCUAAGCAGGUGCAAUAGUUUCAUUUGAUUGCCCCCUUUAAGUCCGCUCCUUGUUGGACUCAUAGUUACCUUUACCUGCUUACUUCUUGAUGAUCACUGGGCUGAGCUAGGAAUUCUGCCUACUGCUAGUUCCUGUGCUAAAGAUAAAUGUAGUAUGAGGAAACAAACUCACCAGCACCCUGGCAGGAUCCUUCAGCCAGCCCACAGAGCAGUUGUUGCCCAUUUGUCUUGGAAACUACACACUCAUAUUUUUAGAAAGGGACAAACAGUUUCCCUGAGCUAGAUCAAAAUUCAACAGGGAAGCGGAGGUAGAGAAAACCCCGUUCCUAGCUCCUGAAGACUGUGAACCAGACUUGGAAACGCCAGGCUAACCCAAAGUAACCUGGGAACAUUCAGCCUGACCUGGGUCAACCGUGAUACAAAGGAAUAUUUAGAGUCUUGGCAGGAAGAGACCUGAUAAUUCCAUAGCCUUCCUUAUGGAUCAUGGCUCCCCAUUAGACACAGAAUAAAUUCAGAUUCUUCAAGCUGGUAUUCAAAGCCUCCCGGGUCUGGCCUGCUCACCUAUCUUCCCUUAUUUCCCAAUCCUUCUCCUCUCUAUAUCAUUACAGGGCUACACUGCAAACUCAACUAUGGGUCUGAUAUAGUUUGGACAAAUGUCCCCACCCAAAUCUCAUGUUGAAUUGUAAUCCCCUGUGUUGGAGGUGGGGCCUGAUGGGAGGUGAUUGGAUCACGGGGGUGGAUUUCUCAGGAAUGAUUUAGCCCCAGCCCCUUGGUGCAGUUCUUGUUAUAGUGAGUGAGUUCUUGUGAGAUCUAGUUGUUUAAAAGUGUGUAUCACUUCUCUCCUUCCUCU